GGCAGAAAUGCGAUUCUACAUCACGCUCCCGCGUCGAAAGACGUGUGGGUGAGCUCCAACAAUGUAAAUGCAUUUUCUGGCCCG
rnacentral:pre_miRNA from 1 species